AACAUCUUCUCAGCUUGUUUCACUGACCUAGAAAGCCAAGCUCCUGAUGAAGGAAGAGGACUUAACUCUAAGCGUACCAGAAGGGCUUGUCAGAUACAGAUGAGGGUCUGGGGGCGGGGGGAGGCAGGGCUGGCACCUGGAGGACACCCACCUGUGCCCUUGCCAGGUGCAGACAAGGCUCAGUGAGCACAUGGCCUCGGGAGCAGCACCCUCUCACAACCGGUAUCCCUCCCUCCCCUGGAGCACACACCUUCUCCUCAGCAACUACAACUGCUAACCACAGCUGUGGGACCAGGCUUCUUUAAAAUGAAAGUGUGGGACCAGAUGGCCUCUACAGUCCUUUCUACUUUUGAAGGAAAUUUGCCCCAGAUGUUGGUCCAUAAAUGGAGAGCUUUCAUCAGCCCGGAUGAAAGGGUGUUAGUAAUUCACAGAUUUCCCCAGAAGCAAGAGCCAAAAGGAGAAGUUCCAGCCAGUUUGUCUCCAUCAAUAAACCAAAGGCUUACCAAUCAAUUAAAGCCCCUCCCCUCCACGGGCAGGAAAAUUUACAACAUGCAAAACAUUUCAUUUUCACUC
ensembl:lncRNA